rnacentral:rRNA from 1 species
GAGUAACGCGUGGGUAACCUGCCUUGUACUGGGGGACAACAGUUGGAAACGACUGCUAAUACCGCAUAAGCGCACAGCUUCGCAUGAAGCAGUGUGAAAAACUCCGGUGGUACAAGAUGGACCCGCGUCUGAUUAGCUGGUUGGUGAGGUAACGGCCCACCAAGGCGACGAUCAGUAGCCGGCCUGAGAGGGUGAACGGCCACAUUGGGACUGAGACACGGCCCAAACUCCUACGGGAGGCAGCAGUGGGGAAUAUUGCACAAUGGGGGAAACCCUGAUGCAGCAACGCCGCGUGAGUGAAGAAGUAUUUCGGUAUGUAAAGCUCUAUCAGCAGGAAAGAAAAUGACGGUACCUGACUAAGAAGCCCCGGCUAACUACGUGCCAGCAGCCGCGGUAAUACGUAGGGGGCAAGCGUUAUCCGGAUUUACUGGGUGUAAAGGGAGCGUAGACGGUUUUGCAAGUCUGAAGUGAAAGCCCGGGGCUUAACCCCGGGACUGCUUUGGAAACUGUAGGACUAGAGUGCAGGAGAGGUAAGUGGAAUUCCUAGUGUAGCGGUGAAAUGCGUAGAUAUUAGGAGGAACACCAGUGGCGAAGGCGGCUUACUGGACUGUAACUGACGUUGAGGCUCGAAAGCGUGGGGAGCAAACAGGAUUAGAUACCCUGGUAGUCCACGCCGUAAACGAUGAUUACUAGGUGUUGGUGGGUAUGACCCAUCGGUGCCGCAG